rnacentral:rRNA from 1 species
UGGGGAAUAUUGGACAAUGGGCGAAAGCCUGAUCCAGCCAUGCCGCGUGUGUGAAGAAGGUCUUCGGAUUGUAAAGCACUUUAAGUUGGGAGGAAGGGCAGUAAGCGAAUACCUUGCUGUUUUGACGUUACCGACAGAAUAAGCACCGGCUAACUCUGUGCCAGCAGCCGCGGUAAUACAGAGGGUGCAAGCGUUAAUCGGAAUUACUGGGCGUAAGGCGCGCGUAGGUGGUUCGUUAAGUUGAAUGUGAAAGCCCCGCGCUCAACCUUGGAACUGCAUCCAAAACUGGCUGGCUAGCGUAGGGCAGAGGGUGGUUGAAUUUCCUGUGUGGCGGUGAGAUGAAUAGAUAUAGGAAGGAACACCAGUGGCGAAGGCGACCACCUGGGCUCAUACUGACACUGAGGUGCGAAAGCGUGGGGGGCAAACAGG